UACAUACUCCCUCCGUUCCAAAUUACUCGUCUCAGAAAUGGAUGUAUCUAGAACUAAAAUACAUCUAGAUACAUCCAUUUCUGCGACGAGUAAUUCGGAACGGAGGGAGUACAUA
rnacentral:pre_miRNA from 1 species